rnacentral:rRNA from 1 species
UUCCCCCAGUAGCGGCGAGCGAACGGGGAGCAGCCCAGAGUCUGAAUCAGCUUGUGUGUUAGUGGAACGGUCUGGAAAGUCCGACGGUACAGGGUGAUAGUCCCGUACACCAAAAUGCACAGGUUGUGAACUCGAAGAGUAGGGCGGGACACGUGGUAUCCUGUCUGAAUAUGGGGGGACCAUCCUCCAAGGCUAAAUACUCCUGACUGACCGAUAGUGAACCAGUACCGUGAGGGAAAGGCGAAAAGAACCCCGGCGAGGGGAGUGAAAAAGAACCUGAAACCGUGUACGUACAAGCAGUGGGAGCACCUUCGGGUGUGACUGCGUACCUUUUGUAUAAUGGGUCAGCGACUUAUAUUCUGUAGCAAGGUUAACCGUAUAGGGGAGCCGCAGGGAAACCGAGUCUUAACUGGGCGUUAAGUUGCAGGGUAUAGACCCGAAACCCGGUGAUCUAGCCAUGGGCAGGUUGAAGGUUGGGUAACACUAACUGGAGGACCGAACCGACUAAUGUUGAAAAAUUAGCGGAUGACUUGUGGCUGGGGGUGAAAGGCCAAUCAAACCGGGAGAUAGCUGGUUCUCCCCGAAAGCUAUUUAGGUAGCGCCUCGUGAACUCAUCUUCGGGGGUAGAGCACUGUUUCGGCUAGGGGGUCAUCCCGACUUACCAACCCGAUGCAAACUACGAAUACCGAAGAAUGUUAUCACGGGAGACACACGGCGGGUGCUAACGUCCGUCGUGAAGAGGGAAACAACCCAGACCGCCAGCUAAGGUCCCAAAGUCAUGGUUAAGUGGGAAACGAUGUGGGAAGGCACAGACAGCCAGGAUGUUGGCUUAGAAGCAGCCAUCAUUUAAAGAAAGCGUAAUAGCUCACUGGUCGAGUCGGCCUGCGCGGAAGAUGUAACGGGGCUAAACCAUGCACCGAAGCUGCGGCAGCGACACUAUGUGUUGUUGGGUAGGGGAGCGUUCUGUAAGCCUGCGAAGGUGUGCUGUGAGGCAUGCUGGAGGUAUCAGAAGUGCGAAUGCUGACAUAAGUAACGAUAAAGCGGGUGAAAAGCCCGCUCGCCGGAAGACCAAGGGUUCCUGUCCAACGUUAAUCGGGGCAGGGUGAGUCGACCCCUAAGGCGAGGCCGAAAGGCGUAGUCGAUGGGAAACAGGUUAAUAUUCCUGUACUUGGUGUUACUGCGAAGGGGGGACGGAGAAGGCUAUGUUAGCCGGGCGACGGUUGUCCCGGUUUAAGCAUGUAGGCUGGUUAUCCAGGCAAAUCCGGAUAAUCAAGGCUGAGGUGUGAUGACGAGGCACUACGGUGCUGAAGUAACAAAUGCCCUGCUUCCAGGAAAAGCCUCUAAGCAUCAGGUAACAUCAAAUCGUAC